UACGGAGGGUGCAAGCGUUGCUCGGAAUUAUUGGGCGUAAAGGGGAGGUAGGUGGUCUCAUUUGUCGGGGGUGAAAGCCUUGAGCUUAACUCAAGAAGUGCCCCUGAAACGGUGAGACUGGAGUCCCAGAGAGGCUUGUGGAAUUCCCGGUGUAGCGGUGAAAUGCGUAGAGAUCCGGAAGAACACCGGUGGCGAAGGCGGCCUGCUGGGCUAUGGCUGACACUGAGGCGCGACAGCGUGGGGAGCAAACAGG
rnacentral:rRNA from 1 species